AUACGUAGGUGACAAGCGUUAUCCGGAUUUACUGGGCGUAAAGGGCGUGUAGGCGGUCUUGCAAGUCAGAAGUGAAAUUCCUGAGCUCAACUCGGGCGCUGCUUCUGAAACUGCAGGACUUGAGUGCUGGAGGGGAUAGCGGAAUUCCUAGUGGAGCGGUAAAAUGCGCAGAUAUUAGGAAGAACACCGGUGGCGAAGGCGGCUAGCUGACCAGUAACUGACGCUGGGGCGCGAAAGCGUGGGGAGCAAACAGGAUUAGAUACCCUGUUAGCCCGCGCCGUAAACGAUGAAUACUAGGUGUAGGGGGUAUCGACUCCCUCUGUGCCGCAGUUAACACAAUAAGUAUUCCGCCUGGGGAGUACGGCCGCAAGGUUGAAACUCAAAUGAAUUGACGGGG
rnacentral:rRNA from 1 species